ensembl:snoRNA SNORD115 Small nucleolar RNA SNORD115
GGGUCUAUGAUGAUAAACCAAAGUCAUGAAGAGAGGUGAUGACAUAAAAAUCAUGCUCACGGGGUUCCGCUGAGGCCG